UGGGGAAUAUUGCACAAUGGGCGCAAGCCUGAUGCAGCAACGCCGCGUGAACGAUGAAGGUCUUCGGAUCGUAAAGUUCUGUUGCAGGGGAAGAUAAUGACGGUACCUUGUGAGGAAGCCCCGGCUAACUACGUGCCAGCAGCCGCGGUAAUACGUAGGGGGCUAGCGUUAUCCGGAUUUACUGGGCGGAAAGGGUGCGUAGGUGGUCUUUCAAGUCGGUGGUUAAAGGCUACGGCUCAACCGUAGUUAGCCUCCGAAACUGGAAGACUUGAGUGCAGGAGAGGAAAGUGGAAUUCCCAGUGUAGCGGUGAAAUGCGUAGAUAUUGGGAGGAACACCAGUAGCGAAGGCGGCUUUCUGGACUGCAACUGACACUGAGGCACGAAAGCGUGGGUAGCAAACAGG
rnacentral:rRNA from 1 species